GAGCGGGUUUCGGCUGUAGGACUUGAGUGGUCUCGGCCAUCUUACCAAGGGCCACCAGGACCCCAGAUAGGCCACUGGGGGCAUGGACCAGCCUGGAGGACAGCCUGAAGUGCCCCUGUCUUCAGGCCUGCUGUGACACGUUGAGGCUUCAUUCAUAACUGGUCCAAGUGUUUGGCGAGCAGGGGGCUGCGGACACGUGGGCUCGAAGAAGGUGCCUUAGAGAGACCCUCACGUUCCCUCCAAGGAAGGAGCCGCCUCUGCCAGCCCGCAGGCCCCUUCCCCGACAACAGCCGCUUACCUCCCACCUGCAAUCCCCGCACUGGCCUCCCUCACCCAUCCUUACUGUUUCCUUUUCUCCUCCCGAGCAAGGAGCCAGUUUUCGCUCAGCAAACCUUUACCAACUGCCUAUUAAGUGCCAAGUGCUAGGUUAAGCGUUUGAAACACCUAUCACGGAUUGGGACCUCCGUAAGCAGAGCAUGAAGGGCAAGAUAUUUAUUGGGGAUUAACACGUAUGAAAGGGAAGGGAGGAAACAGGAUGAGACAAGUGAAGUCAACUGAUCCCGGCUCUGCAAAGCCUCAGCCAGCCCUGCGGGCGAGCUCUGGAGAGAGCCCCGCCUGGCAGGACCGUUCUGCAUCAGCCGAAAUGGCCAACCCUUUAAACCCCAAGGCUCGGUCACCAGAUGCAGGCUGCCCUGGGAAGGGUGUGACCUCAGGCCACAGGCUCUCUGCAGCUGAGGCAGACCCGAAAGAGCCGAAAGAGCCGAAGGCAGCGGACUGUCGCCAGCCGCACUCCCCGCGCCGGGCAGCAGGCCCUUCCCGGAAGGGGUGUCUGGGCAGAGUCCCUCUCUUUGUCUACCGAACAUCCAUGAUCCGACCGAAAUCGCGCCACAACCCAUCUGUGCAGGAAUUAACAAACUUAUUUUACAGAGGAGUUCACAGAGGUUCAGCAACUUGCCGAAAGCAGCUUCCAGAAAGGAAGGGAGAGUCGGAAGCCAGGAUGUACUCAUGUCUGUACUUGGUGCCUGGAGGUGUGGCAGCCAUCUUGUGACCGGGCGGAGAAACUGACACCCUGAUGCUGGCUCAGCAGGAAGAUGGAAAGGACAUUACUGGGCUGCUGAAUUAAUGGCUCCUGUAGCUACCAAACCUUGGAACUUAGUCUUCAGUGGAUACACGUUUCUCACUGUUGAUCAGCUGAGUUGGUGGCUUCAAAUUUUUGCAGCCUGAAGGUUCUGACUGAUUCAAGAGCUAAAGGGGAUGCCAAGACACCUUGUUGCUUCCACAGCUCAGGCUUGGAGAAGAGAUAAAGCUGUGAGGGUUAAAGGUAUAGGCUUUGCAGUUAGACAGAGUUGGCUUCAAGUCCCAGCUUGGCCACUUCCUACUUGUGUGACCUUAGGCAUGUCACUUAAUGUCCUUGAGAUUCAAUUCCUGGGGAUGAGAAUAAUACAUCAUAGGGCUCUGAUGAUAAAAUAAGGAAAUGCACAAAAAGGGCUGCUUAGUACAGGACAGGGUGCAUAAUAAGUACUCAUUAUAUCAUCCUGAUGGCAGCUGUCCUUACUGUCAUUAUUGACUUUUUGGGUCCCCAUGGAAGCCUUUAUACUCUCCUCAUACACUUGCCUAACUCAUACUCACCCUAACACUAGAGUCAGCUCCUCCGCACUCGGCCAAAUUCAAUUCCCCUUAAUACUGUGAUUGUGUAGGUUUUGAGGUCUUAGAACUAUAUUCCAAGCUGGAGGAGGAGAAGGGAGGAGCUGGAGUCAGGUCACGGCUAGGGUUAUCAUGGAUAGGGUUAAGGUUCUGUGGCCACAGGUCGGCCCCAGAUGGACCUACAUAAGGGCCUUUCCCCUUGGCCAACGCUGCUUGGACCUUUCACAUCCCAAGCAGCUAAGUUAGUCUGCAUCUCAAAGCCUUGAUAGUAGUGAGAAGCAGGUGUCAGUAAAGGAGAAGUGUUUACCAGGCAGAUAGAGCAGCAUGUCCACCCCAACCGGGGCCUUAACAACAGACCCCGUUGUGCCCAGCAGACAAUAAAGCUAAGCCCUAGGCCUACCUCA